GACGUAGGGUCCAAGCGUUGUCCGGAUUUACUGGGCGUAAAGAGCGCGUAGGCGGUCUGUUAAGUGUGAUGUGAAAUCUCCAGGGCUCAACCCGGAAACUGCAUCGCAUACUGGCAGACUUGAGGAAUGCAGAGGUAACUGGAAUUCCUGAUGUAGCGGUGAAAUGCGUUGAUAUCAGGAGGAACACCCAUGGCGAAGGCAGGUUACUGGGCAUUAUCUGACGCUGAGGCGCGAAAGCGUGGGUAGCAAACAGG
rnacentral:rRNA from 1 species